rnacentral:lncRNA from 1 species
AGACGGGAACUUGCUGUGUUGCCCAGGCUGGACUCAAACUCCUGGCCUUAAGUGAUCCCACUCAGCCUUCCAAAGCUGGGUAGCUUUUGAUUGCAGAUUCUAGCUAGGUUGCAGGACGUGAGGAAGUGGGGGUGCAGAAAUCACAGCAACACCCUCCCCCAAGGGUGCUUUCCGUGGCCGUGUACACAGCCCGCCUGGCCGGCUCUGAGAGCAGGGACCCUUCUCUGGAUGCUCCAGGCCAUCGCUGUGCAGGAACCCGGUGUGUCGUAAGUGAAGGACAGUCGUCUUUACCUUGGGGGAGACAGUUGUGGGUGCCUCCCUGCAGGCUGUGGCAUCUGUAAUUCCCCAAAUGUAGGUGCUACGUUGAACAGCCCCUUAGACUUCACCGCAGCACCGUGUGGCCACCGUGCACAGCCUUCCCAGGCCAGCUGCAGAAUUCCAUGGAAAAGGUUUUGUGAAUGAUUACAACUCAACGGUCUAGGCCCUCAACCUUCUCUUUUUAGAACAGUGCCCCCCAUUGUGGAAAUCCUCGGUUCAGCCACUGGGAACUCCCCAGUUUUGAGGGCAGGUGUUGGCAGUUUCAUUUGGUCCAACACCAAUUCCACGUUCCUGUGCCCCCUUCAACAGUCUGCGCAGCCUCCCAGUGGCGCAGCCUCCCCGUGACUCAGCCUCCUGGUGACACGGCCUUGCUAGCCGCCAUCCUGUACCGGGCCCAGGUGACACCGUGGGACGUCUGUUAUUUAGGUGCCCCUGGCCCCUGCCACGGGGUUUCCCACUUUGGGGGCCUUGCAUCUGUGUGGCUUCUUCCUUGCUCUCAGUGGUCACCUGGUUGUCGGUGGCCCGCGUCCAUCAGCCCAUCAUCAUUCCGACUUGCUGUUUUGAUCGUCGGCCGGAAAGCCAGACAGCUGGCCUUGCUGGACCAUGUCUGCAAUGGGAAUUUUGAGGCCGAGAGGGAGGGCUUCAGGGGCCCCUGGGAGUGCAACACGUAAAUGGGGGCUUGCACACGGGGUCGGGUGGGGGGCUCUUGCUCCGAUGUUCCGGGAUCUUUUUUGCCCCUUGUAGACCCACAGGUGUGUGUGCAGGAGCCCUGAGGAGGCCAGAGGAGGCCAGAGAAGGGUGAGCAGAGGUCCGAGGGCACUGCGGUGAGGCCAGGCUGCAGAUGGAGCUGGGGCUCGAGCUCAGGAGCUGGUCUUCCCUGCUGGGGCCGCGACGCCUGCCGCUUUCCUGCCGGCUCUCUGGGUCAAGGCCUGGAAAGGCUUUCUUCUCGGGCUUCUCAUCAGCUUAUUGGCCCAUUUAGGUAAUGGCACUUCCUGUCCAUUAACCUCAGCCACACUGAGAUCAGCUCUCCACACUCACUUGGCAGGAGGCUUGCAGGAGCUUUCCUAUUUGGAGAGUAAAAAGAGCAUGGCCUCUGCAGCAGCCAGGAAGUGGAAAGCCCUGGCUUCCUGGUUCCAGAGAACAAACAGGGGAUGCGGCUCCCAGAUGCAGCCAAAAGUGCUCUGGGGACGGGGACAGUCGGCCGGGUCCUGUCGCAAGCGGCUGCCCUGUUGCACUGAUGUCCUGGCCCCUGAGAACACAUCAGUAGGGCCUGGCCGGACCCUGGGCCGAUGCCACUCUUAGGGGUGAGAUGGGGAGCCUGGCCCAGGCUGAGACCCCCACCCUCCACCCAAAACGUGUCCGGGCCUCCAGGCCGUGCAGAGCACACUGGAGGCUCAAGACGGCACCUCUUCUGUGGGACUGGGCCACAGCCUGUCUGAUGCCUCACUUCUCUGACUCUUGGAGGCAUGGUGCUGGCCUGUCUGUGAGCCCCAGACCCCCUCGUAGAGCUCGCUCCAGGGCCAGGCCCAGCCCCCUUACCGCCUCUCAGCCAGGCUCAGCUAGUGGCCGGCUCUGCCAUGGGGAAGGCCCGGUGUCUCUCUCUCUCUGCCUCUCCCAGGCUGCUGCAGCAUGGCCCCAAGCCUGGGCGCCAGUAACAGCCUCGUCCCUCCAGCCUGUACAAUGGCUCAGCGCUACCUGGGGACUCCCUCCAGCCAGGCCAGACAUGCUGGGCAGUCAGGGUCCCUGGGAGCCCCUUGACAGCGACUGACGGCAGGUGGGGGAUAAGUAGCCAAGUGUCUCCUGCCGGCGGGGGCAACUCUGCAGGUGUCUCUGCAGCCUCCCCAGUACCCCAUGGGUGCCUGCCCCCUGAGUCCCCCAGGGGGCACCUGCCCCUUUGUCCUGACCCCUGCUCCUUCCCUCUCUUCUCCUGGGGUGGCCAGGGGUCACAUGCCAUGUAACCCUGAAUCCUGUCCCAGCCUCUGCCCCUGAGGAACCCGCCCAGCAAGCCAUCCACCCUCACUAAAGUCCAGGCCGUCUUCCAUGGUCCCCUCACCACCUUGUUCUUUCUGGCCCCAGAGGCCAUCACCAUCCAGGGCACAAGGGGGCCUGCCCCUUGGCCAGGUGGCUGCCUGUCCUCUGACCCUGGGUUGUCGACAGGGGGAGGGGAGAGCUGGAAACCGGGGUCAGGAGGAUGCCAGCAGGUCCGUCACUCCCUGCCUGGAUCCGGCCAAGUGCGGGGGACCUUGGCCAGCAUCCUAGAGAGCUGGCGCACCUCCUGGGCCUGACGCGGGCUUCCUGGAUUGCAUAAAGGCUCCUUCUCCUUACAUAGCCAGGGCAAAGGUGCAUGACAACUCUGAGCAAGUCAAAACAACCGUCAGCAGCGGGAAACCUCGAUGAACAAACACCGGGAGAGUGCAUUCCCAGGGGAGUUCCAGGAGGCCCAUGGCCCCUCCUGUACAGCCCUCCACCGCCCAGAGCCUUCCAGCGCCGUGUCUUCCCCUUGGAGCAUCUGGAGGCCCCAGACAGCACCCGCCUGACGUUCAGCAGAGGGGGAGACCGAGGCCUGCAGCAGAGUGUUUUGUCAGAUGCUGCUCCCUGACCGGGAGUGAGAGGGAACCCACCUAGAGGUGCCAGAUGGGGUGCCAGGGCAGCGUGGCCUGCAGGCCCCUCAGCUCCUCACAGCCCCUGCCCCCAGCCUUCCUGGGCCCAGAGAUCCCCUUGUUUACCCUAGUCCAGGGACAGAGGCUCAGAUGUCAUGCUUGACCCCACAGGUACAGGGUUAGGGGUGAAGGUGGCUGUCUCUUCAUGUCUUCACCAUGGCUUCUCUGCCUUCCUCCUGCUCCUGGUGGCUUAUGUCCUGCCGCUCUUGAUACGCGACUGUGGUCUGUCCUGGGAUGGUUAUGAUGCAUAUGUGCUAUUGUUGUGAACUGUAACAUUGAGGUCUGGCCUUACGGUUGGUUUUGAUUGUCCCUUCUGCUCCCUUUUCUUAUUUUAAUAUUUUACCAUUUUCCAUUUUAAUGUAUCUGUUGUCUUUUUUGGCUAAAUCUCUUUUCAGUUUUAUUUUACUGUAUAUCUUUUCUAAGUGAUUGCUUAGAGAUUACAAUAUACUAAACCUAGCCUUUCACAGUUUCUGCAGAUCCUGCUUUGUGACUUCGAGUGAAGUGUGGAAGCGCUGGAAGCACUUAGACCCUGCCUGUGCCGCAGACCCCUGGGAGGCACCAACACCC